rnacentral:rRNA from 1 species
UGGGGAAUAUUGGACAAUGGGCGAAAGCCUGAUCCAGCCAUGCCGCGUGUGUGAAGAAGGUCUUCGGAUUGUAAAGCACUUUAAGUUGGGAGGAAGGGCAGUAAGCGAAUACCUUGCUGUUUUGACGUUACCGACAGAAUAAGCACCGGCUAACUCUGUGCCAGCAGCCGCGGUAAUACAGAGGGUGCAAGCGUUAAUCGGAAUUACUGGGCGUAAAGCGCGCGUAGGUGGUUCGUUAAGUUGAAUGUGAAAGCCCCGGGCUCAACCUGGGAACUGCAUCCAAAACUGGCGAGCUAGAGUAGGGCAGAGGGUGGUGGAAUUUCCUGUGUAACGGUGGAAUGCGUAGAUAUAGGAAGGAACACCAGUGGCGAAGGCGACCACCUGGGCUCAUACUGACACUGAGGUGCGAAAGCGUGGGGAGCAAACAGG